rnacentral:rRNA from 1 species
GAUGAACGCUAGCGGCAGGCCUAAUACAUGCAAGUCGGACGGGAUUUGGGAGCUUGCUCCUAAUGAGAGUGGCGCACGGGUGCGUAACACGUAUGUAACCUACCUUAAUCAGGGGGAUAGCCUCUCGAAAGAGAGAUUAACACCGCAUAACAUAUUUUUAUGGCAUCGUAGAAAUAUCAAAUAUUUAUAGGAUUAAGAUGGGCAUGCGGAACAUUAGCUAGUUGGUAAGGUAACGGCUUACCAAGGCUACGAUGUUUAGGGGAUCUGAGAGGAUGACCCCCCACACUGGUACUGAGACACGGACCAGACUCCUACGGGAGGCAGCAGUAAGGAAUAUUGGUCAAUGGGCGCAAGCCUGAACCAGCCAUGCCGCGUGCAGGAAGACGGCCCUAUGGGUUGUAAACUGCUUUUGUACCGGAAUAAACCCUUUUACGUGUAGAAGGCUGAAUGUACGGUAAGAAUAAGGAUCGGCUAACUCCGUGCCAGCCGCCGCGGUAUAC